rnacentral:rRNA from 1 species
GACGAACGCUGGCGGCGUGCUUAACACAUGCAAGUCGAGCGGUAAGGCCCUUUCGGGGGUACACGAGCGGCGAACGGGUGAGUAACACGUGGGUGACCUGCCCUCAGCUCUGGGAUAAGCCUGGGAAACCGGGUCUAAUACCGGAUAUGACUCCAUGACGCAUGUUGUGGGGUGAAAGCCUUGUGCGGCUGAGGAUGGGCCCGCGGCCUAUCAGCUUGUUGGUGGGGUGAUGGCCUACCAAGGCGACGACGGAUAGCCGGCCUGAGAGGGCGACCGGCCACACUGGGACUGAGACACGGCCCAGACUCCUACGGGAGGCAGCAGUGGGGAAUCUUGCGCAAUGGGCGAAAGCCUGACGCAGCGACGCCGCGUGAGGGAUGACGGCCU